GGGGCUACGAUCGAAGUGGCGGCCCUGCAGAAGGCGCUAUCCGAGGCCGAAGACAAAGCGGCCAAGGAGCGCAUCGGGCGAGAGAAACAAGAGGCCCGAGUAGGCGAGGUGCAGCAAGAGCUCCAGGCUCUUGUCAAGAAACACGAGUCCUUGGAGCUUGACUCUAAGACGCAAGGGUCCGAGCUUGCGAAGGCCCUCGAAAGUGCACAACAAGCCAAGGCCGAAGCCCAAAAGGCCCUCCAGGAAAUUGAGGCGGUUAAGAAGAUAGCGGCGGGUAAGGCAUUCAUUAUGCAAAGCAAGCAUGUGAAGGAAACUUUCUUUUUACUUACCCGAGUUCGGAGCUCUCCAGGAGCGUUCGCAGAUCUACCCCGCAGUGUGUCGGAUGCUGCGGAGUUCUACCGGGCCGAGGAGGGGAGCUCGACGGAGAAGUUGUUCUGGUCUCGGUAUACUAGGACCGAAGACCCAAUGCCCUUGAGCGACCAGUUGAAGCAACUGGUCGAGCUUCACAAGGCGGCCGAACAGGCCAUGAGGGGUCUUAUAGUCCGGAUGUGGCCUGGCGAGCCCCUGCCUGGUAGCUACCUCGGUCUGGUGAGGCGGCUUGUGAAUGCCUGCCCACGGUUUGAAGUCAUAAAGCAGCCCGUCUGCAUCGAGGGUGCGCGCAGGGCUUUUGCCCGGGCGAAGGUGCACUGGGCGAAGCUGGACGCCGAAAAGCUGGUGAAGGAGGGGCCGCCGGAGGGCAAGGAGCAUCGCCACCCCGAAAAGUAUUAUGACAGUGUCCUGAAGGGUGCUCGCCUUGUGGCGGAGGAAUGUGCUAAGGAU
rnacentral:rRNA from 1 species